rnacentral:rRNA from 1 species
GCCAAACAGCUAGCUUAAACAUAUGGGUUGAUACAACAACAUCCAAAAACCCCACCAAACCCCCAUCAUACAAAUAAAACAUUCUCCCGCCUUAGUAUGUGAGACAGAAAAGGCUCCACUAAAGCAAUAAAAAAGUACCGCAAGGGAAAGCUGAAAGAGAAAUGAAAUAAACCAUUAAAGCCAUAAAAAGCAGAGACUAACCCUCGUACCUUUUGCAUCAUGAUUUAGCCAGCCACCCUGAGCAAAGAGCACUUCAGUUCCAGACCCCGAAACUAGGUGAGCUACCCCGGGACAGCCUAUUACAGGGCCAACCCGUCUCUGUGGCAAAAGAGUGGGAAGAUCUCUGGGUAGAGGCGAUAAACCUACCGAACCUAGUUAUAGCUGGUUGCCUAAAAAAUGGAUAGAAGUUCAGCCUCACACUCCUCGACCCAUAAAGUUACUACUAAUCCAAGAGCCCGAGAAAAAUGCGAGAGUUAGUCAGAGGAGGUACAGCUCCUCUGAAAAGGGACACAACCCUAUUCAGGAGGUUAAAGAUUAUAUUCAUCAAGAUUACUGCUUCAGUGGGCCUAAAAGCAGCCACCUGAUUAGAAAGCGUUAAAGCUCAAGCAACCCGUGAUCUAUUAUCCCACUAACCACAUCUCAUACCCCUAAUUAUAUUAGGCCAUUCUAUGCCAACAUAGAAAUGAUUCUGCUAAAAUGAGUAAUAAGAAGGACUCAACCUUCUCCAAGCCCAAGUGUAAACUAGACCGGAUCACCCGCUAGUCAUUAACGAACCCACCUAAAGAGGGUACUGUGACUGAAAAAAUAAUCAAGAAAAACUCACAACAACAAUCGUUAACCCCACACUGGAGGGCCCACAAGGAAAGACUAAAAGAAGAGAAAGGAACUCGGCAAACUCAAGCCUCGCCUGUUUACCAAAAACAUCGCCUCCCGCAAAAAUCAAAGUAUAGGAGGUCUUGCCUGCCCAGUGACUGUAAGUUAAACGGCCGCGGUAUUUUGACCGUGCAAAGGUAGCGCAAUCACUUGUCUUUUAAAUGAAGACCUGUAUGAAUGGUGGAACGAGGGCUUAACUGUCUCCCUCAUCUAGUCAAUGAAAUUGAUCUACCCGUGCAGAAGCGGGUAUAAAAAUACAAGACGAGAAGACCCUUUGGAGCUUAAGACAAAAGACCAACUAUGUCAAGAAUACUAAAAAUGAAACUAAACCAAAUAAUACUGGUCCCAGUCUUCGGUUGGGGCGACCGCGGGAGAAAAUAAAGCUCCCAUGUGGACAGGGGAAAACCCCUAAAACUAAGAGAGACAUCUCUAAGACACAGAACAUCUGACCAUAAAGAUCCAGCUAUAUGCUGACCAACGGACCAAGUUACCCUAGGGAUAACAGCGCAAUCCUCUUCCAGAGUCCAUAUCGACAAGGGGGUUUACGACCUCGAUGUUGGAUCAGGACAUCCUAAUGGUGCAGCCGCUAUUAAGGGUUCGUUUGUUCAACGAUUAAAGUCCUACGUGAUCUGAGUUCAGACCGGAGUAAUCCAGGUCAGUUUCUAUCUGUAGAGCUAUUUUUCCUAGUACGAAAGGACCGGAAAAAUGGGGCCCAUGUUCUAAACACGCCCCACCCUAACUUAAUGAAGACAACUAAAUUAAGUAAAAGAAGGCACAACCCCUACUCAAGAUAAGAAUUU